GGGAGUGUAGCUUAGUGGCAGAGUACACACUUAACAUUUGUGAAACCCUGGGUUUGACCCCCAACACUCCAA
rnacentral:tRNA from 1 species